rnacentral:rRNA from 1 species
GAUGAACGCUGGCGGCGUGCCUAAUACAUGCAAGUCGAGCGAACAGACAGGGAGCUUGCUCCUCUGACGUUAGCGGCGGACGGGUGAGUAACACGUGGAUAACCUACCUAUAAGACUGGGAUAACUUCGGGAAACCGGAGCUAAUACCGGAUAAUAUAUUGAACCGCAUGGUUCAAUAGUGAAAGACGGUUUUGCUGUCACUUAUAGAUGGAUCCGCGCCGCAUUAGCUAGUUGGUAAGGUAACGGCUUACCAAGGCAACGAUGCGUAGCCGACCUGAGAGGGUGAUCGGCCACACUGGAACUGAGACACGGUCCAGACUCCUACGGGAGGCAGCAGUAGGGAAUCUUCCGCAAUGGGCGAAAGCCUGACGGAGCAACGCCGCGUGAGUGAUGAAGGUCUUCGGAUCGUAAAACUCUGUUAUUAGGGAAGAACAAAUGUGUAAGUAACUAUGCACGUCUUGACGGUACCUAAUCAGAAAGCCACGGCUAACUACGUG